rnacentral:rRNA from 1 species
GACGAACGCUGGCGGCGUGCCUAACACAUGCAAGUCGAGCGGGGUUGUCUCCGGCACUGGGUAUUCAGGCGGGAGGAAGCUGGAAUACCGAGUGCUGGAGGCGACCUAGCGGCGGACGGGUGAGUAACACGUGGGUAACCUGCCUUUGACUGGGGGAUAACACCGGGAAACCGGUGCUAAUACCGCAUGACAUGUGGAGGUGGCAUCACUUUCACAUUAAAGGAGAAAUCCGGUUGAAGAUGGGCCCGCGGCCGAUUAGCUAGUUGGUGAGGUAAUGGCUCACCAAGGCGACGAUCGGUAGCCGAGCUGAGAGGUUGGCCGGCCACAUUGGGACUGAGACACGGCCCAGACUCCUACGGGAGGCAGCAGUGGGGAAUAUUGCGCAAUGGGGGAAACCCUGACGCAGCGACGCCGCGUGGAGGAAGAAGGUCUUCGGAUUGUAAACUCCUUUGGCAGGGGACGAAGGAAGACGGUACCCUGAGAACAAGCCACGGCUAACUACGUG